rnacentral:lncRNA from 1 species
GUCUACCAGUUGCCACUUCUGGUCCAUUUGCAUAUAACACUGGAGAAGUGUUCCUUUAUCUUUGUGAAGCCCUUAACAUUCAAGGAGCCACUACUGCUUCUAUGCUGCUGAAAAAUACAAGACACUGCCUCUACCUCUGCAUCUGUCCUUUGCUUUUUGCUUGGAAACUAUCACAUCAAAUCACACUGAGAUCAGGAGAUGAGAUGAAGGAUCAGCUGAGGAACAGUCAUCCCAACAGUAGUGCCUGUUCCUACUGAGCUCUCACUGGCAAACUAUCAGUAGAAGAAGCCUGGACAAAACUGAGUUCAAUGCUUCACAAUUGCUGCGCUCUUCUUCUCCCCAGUGGAAAAAAAAAUGCUCUCUGCACCACAUGGCCGCUGGCCGCUGCCAGAGGAUGGAGG